CAUAGGUUAAUGAGGCGAACCGGGGGAACUGAAACAUCUAAGUACCCCGAGGAAAAGAAAUCAACCGAGAUUCCCCCAGUAGCGGCGAGCGAACGGGGAGCAGCCCAGAGCCUGAAUCAGUGUGUGUGUUAGUGGAAGCGUCUGGAAAGGCGCGCGAUACAGGGUGACAGCCCCGUACACAAAAAUGCACAUGCUGUGAGCUCGAUGAGUAGGGCGGGACACGUGGUAUCCUGUCUGAAUAUGGGGGGACCAUCCUCCAAGGCUAAAUACUCCUGACUGACCGAUAGUGAACCAGUACCGUGAGGGAAAGGCGAAAAGAACCCCGGCGAGGGGAGUGAAAAAGAACCUGAAACCGUGUACGUACAAGCAGUGGGAGCACAGAGCAAUCUGUGUGACUGCGUACCUUUUGUAUAAUGGGUCAGCGACUUAUAUUCUGUAGCAAGGUUAACCGAAUAGGGGAGCCGAAGGGAAACCGAGUCUUAACUGGGCGUUAAGUUGCAGGGUAUAGACCCGAAACCCGGUGAUCUAGCCAUGGGCAGGUUGAAGGUUGGGUAACACUAACUGGAGGACCGAACCGACUAAUGUUGAAAAAUUAGCGGAUGACUUGUGGCUGGGGGUGAAAGGCCAAUCAAACCGGGAGAUAGCUGGUUCUCCCCGAAAGCUAUUUAGGUAGCGCCUCGUGAAUUCAUCUCCGGGGGUAGAGCACUGUUUCGGCAAGGGGGUCAUCCCGACUUACCAACCCGAUGCAAACUACGAAUACCGGAGAAUGUUAUCACGGGAGACACACGGCGGGUGCUAACGUCCGUCGUGAAGAGGGAAACAACCCAGACCGCCAGCUAAGGUCCCAAAGUCAUGGUUAAGUGGGAAACGAUGUGGGAAGGCCCAGACAGCCAGGAUGUUGGCUUAGAAGCAGCCAUCAUUUAAAGAAAGCGUAAUAGCUCACUGGUCGAGUCGGCCUGCGCGGAAGAUGUAACGGGGCUAAACCAUGCACCGAAGCUGCGGCAGCGACGCUUAUGCGUUGUUGGGUAGGGGAGCGUUCUGUAAGCCUGCGAAGGUGUGCUGUGAGG
rnacentral:rRNA from 1 species